GAUGAACGCUGGCGGCGUGCCUAAUACAUGCAAGUCGAGCGAACGGACGAGAAGCUUGCUUCUCUGAUGUUAGCGGCGGACGGGUGAGUAACACGUGGAUAACCUACCUAUAAGACUGGGAUAACUUCGGGAACCCGGAGCUAAUACCGGAUAAUAUUUUGAACCGCAUGGUUCAAAAGUGAAAGACGGUCUUGCUGUCACUUAUAGAUGGAUCCGCGCUGCAUUAGCUAGUUGGUAAGGUAACGGCUUACCAAGGCAACGAUGCAUAGCCGACCUGAGAGGGUGAUAGGCCACACUGGAACUGAGACACGGUCCAGACUCCUACGGGAGGCAGCAGUAGGGAAUCUUCCGCAAUGGGCGAAAGCCUGACGGAGCAACGCCGCGUGAGUGAUGAAGGUCUUCGGAUCGUAAAACUCUGUUAUUAGGGAAGAACAUAUGUGUAAGUAACUGUGCACAUCUUGACGGUACCUAAUCAGAAAGCCACGGCUAACUACGUG
rnacentral:rRNA from 1 species